rnacentral:rRNA from 1 species
UACGUAGGGUGCGAGCGUUAAUCGGAAUUACUGGGCGUAAAGCGUGCGCAGGCGGUUUUGUAAGUCAGAUGUGAAAUCCCCGGGCUUAACCUGGGAACUGCGUUUUGAAACUACAAGGCUAGAGUGUGGCAGAGGGGGGGUGGAAUUCCACGUGUAGCAGUGAAAUGCGUAGAGAUGUGGAGGAACACCGAUGGCGAAGGCAGCCCCCUGGGUUAACACUGACGCUCAGGCACGAAGGCGUGGGGAGCAAACAGG